ACCUGACUGGCUCAGUCGGUUGAGCUUGUGGCUCUUGAUCUUGGGGUUGUGAGUUCGAGCCCCACGUUGGGUG
rnacentral:tRNA from 1 species